rnacentral:rRNA from 1 species
AGACCUUACCCAGAUUUGAAAUGCAGAGGACAGUCCCCGAAAAGGGAUCUCCCGUAAGGGCCUUUGCACAGGUGCUGCAUGGCUGUCGUCAGCUCGUGCCGUGAGGUGUUGGGUUAAGUCCCGCAACGAGCGCAACCCUUAUCUCUAGUUGCCAGCAUGUAAAGGUGGGGACUCUAGAGAGACUGCCUGCGCAAGCAGAGAGGAAGGAGGGGAUGACGUCAAGUCAUCAUGGCCCUUACGCCCAGGGCUACACACGUGCUACAAUGGCGCUUACAGAGUGUUGCGAGCAGGUGACUGCGAGCCAAUCACAAAAAGAGCGUCUCAGUUCGGAUUGCAGGCUGCAACUCGCCUGCAUGAAGUUGGAAUCGCUAGUAAUCGCGCAUCAGCAAUGGCGCGGUGAAUACGUUCCCGGGCCUUGUACACACCG